CCUACGGGAGGCAGCAGUGGGGAAUCUUGCGCAAUGGGCGAAAGCCUGACGCAGCCAUGCCGCAUGAAUGAUGAAGGUCUUAGGAUUGUAAAAUUCUUUCACCGGGGACGAUAAUGACGGUACCCGGAGAAGAAGCCCCGGCUAACUUCGUGCCAGCAGCCGCGGUAAUACGAAGGGGGCUAGCGUUGCUCGGAAUUACUGGGCGUAAAGGGAGCGUAGGCGGAUAGUUUAGUCAGAGGUGAAAGCCCAGGGCUCAACCUUGGAAUUGCCUUUGAUACUGGCUAUCUUGAGUGUGGGAGAGGUAUGUGGAACUCCGAGUGUAGAGGUGAAAUUCGUAGAUAUUCGGAAGAACACCAGUGGCGAAGGCGACAUACUGGCCCAUUACUGACGCUGAGGCUCGAAAGCGUGGGGAGCAAACAGGAUUAGAUACCCUGGUAGUCCACGCUGUAAACGAUGAGUGCUAGUUGUCGGCAGCANGCUGUCGGUGACGCAGCUACGACAUAAGUACGACGUCCGCCGUCGGGGUAGGUACGGUCGGCGAACGUAAGUUAAACGUUAACGUUAAAGGAAAGUUAGUUACGGCGUGAGACGUUGCCGACGGACGACGACGAGGGAGGAGG
rnacentral:rRNA from 1 species